rnacentral:rRNA from 1 species
GAUGAGCGCUGGCGGCGUGCCUAAUACAUGCAAGUCGAGCGAACGGACGAGAAGCUUGCUUUUCUGAUGUUAGCGGCGGACGGGUGAGUAACACGUGGAUACCCUACCUAUAAGACUGGGAUCACUUCGGGAAACCGGAGCUAAUCCCGGAUAAUAUUUUGAACCGCAUUGUUCAAAAGUGAAAGACGGUCUUGCUGUCACUUAUAGAUGGAUACGCGCUGCAUUAGCUAGUUGGUACGUUAACGGCUUACCAAGGGCACGAUGCAUAGCCGACCUGAGAGGGUGAACGGCCACAGAGGAACUGAGACACGGUCCAGACUCCUACGGGAGGCAGCAGUAGGGAAGCGUCCGCAAUGGGCGAAAGCCUGACGGAGCAACGCCGGGUGAGUGAUGAAGGUCUUCGGAUCGGAAAACGGUGUUAUGAGGGAAGAACAUAUGUGUAAGUAACUGUGCACAUCUUGACGGUACCGAAUCAGAAAGCCACGGCUAACUACGU